rnacentral:tRNA from 1 species
GGAGAUGUACCCAAGAGGUUGAAGGGUCCGCACUCGAAAUGCGGUAGGUCAGGCAACUGGCGCGAGGGUUCAAAUCCCUCCAUCUCCG